CCUGUGUAGCUGGUAAUAAAGAUUUCUGAAUAUUUGUGGUAUCUAAACUAGUUUUGAACCCUUUUGCAAUGCCUAGGUUACAUUCUCAUAUCAUUGAUAUUAAUUCAUCUUGGCGACUCUUCACUAGUGCUCGUUCUCGUCACUAUAUUCAUCUUCCAAUCUAAAGUGCAUAGGGUAAAAGGGAGCUGACCGUUGUCGAAGGAAAUCAAUUAUGAAGCUUUGACAAGUUUUUUUGAAUUUCGUCUGUUUGGAAACUUGAACUCUCAACGACGUUCUUGCUUUUCUGGUGAAACUCAACCUUGAUGAUGUUGUCUCUGUUUAAUGAACUGUGUGGCUGUCCUUACAAUUUUUGUGGCCAUCUAUAGUGCCCUAUGCUGUAGUGAGGGUGCUUGCACCUCUGUAAUUAGUCUUUAACUACCUCUGGCUAAAGUGGAUGCUUUUAUGCCGUUCUUUGUUUUUACGCCAUAUGUGACAGCUUAUGUUUUCUGUACUGUGCUAUUUUCUGCUAUAUGACAGAUUUGGCAUUAAUUAGCCUCAAACUAAUACUAAUCCUCAAUCCCAAACUGGUUUACGUCGGCUCUAUAUAUUCUCAAUCCCAAGUUAGUGGAUUGUAUGGGUUUGCAUUUUUUCAA